rnacentral:tmRNA from 1 species
GGGGGCGAUCGGUUUCGACGGGGAGUGCGAAGGCAGGGACAGCGGGUCGAGGUGCCGUGGCCUCGUUAAACUGCGGCGAGCACGAUAAGUGCCAACAAUCAACUCGCUCUCGCUGCUUAAUUAAGCAGCCGUCCGACCCUCUCCUCUACCCGGGAGGAAGGGAAGGGCGUCAUCUAAACCGGGUUGCGGCCGGUCCAAUUCUCGGAGGGCCGGUCUAAGACCAUCGAGAUGGCCGUUAUGGACCCUGCCCGUGGGGGCCGUACCGGCGAGAGCAAAGCACGGGCUGCACCCGGAGAAGUCUCUGCGGUCGCCUUUUCGGACGGGGGUUCGACUCCCCCCGCCUCCACCA